GGUGAGAUGGCCGAGUUGGUCUAAGGCGCCAGGUUAAGGUAUCCAACACUUAACACACGAUUGUUUACAAUCUCCUGGUCUAGUAAUAGGCGUGGGUUCGAAUCCCACUCUCAUCA
rfam:Botryotinia fuckeliana BcDW1 unplaced genomic scaffold Scaffold_413, whole genome shotgun sequence.